rnacentral:lncRNA from 1 species
UCCUGUGUCCUCCUGAUCCUGCGUUCCUGUGUCCUUCGUUCCUGUGCCCUCCGAUCCUGUGUUCUGGUUCCGUGUUCUCUGCCUUAUUACCAGUGAUCCUGACCCUGCAGCAUUGUUCAUUUAUUCUGCUUCUGACCUUGCUUCCUGGUGUCAGUAUAUUAGUCUUGUGACUCUGGAUCUGUGCCCUACCUACUACUCAUGGUAACUGCACAAUCCUGCCCUUAUACCAAAGGACUGUUUCAGUAUACGUUGCCUGCACUAUUCGUGCUUAUCCUGAUUUAUUGUAUAUAUUUUGUGGCAUUGUAUAUAUAUUGUUUAGUUUUUUUGGUUCUCUGUAAUAAGUAUAUAUCUCUUGAUUUACCCUAUUAAUUUGUGUCUUGGCAUUUAUUUCUUUGCUGAAUUGGGUCCCACAUUUAAAGGGACAGUGCUGUUCCAGGGCAGCACCCCUUUAUGUCAUUACAUCUUCUUAGCAUGUGCCCACCAAUUUCCCAUGCAAAUGGCAGGCACAAGAUAUAUAACAAGAUCACUGGAUCUUUCACAGAUAUUCUGGCACUAAUAUUGAGAGAUGUCCUAGCCAUUUAUUUUACAUCAUACGAGAAUGCCUUUUCCAGUAAAAAGGUCAUGCUUACAAUUUACCUUUGAAAAUAUUGGUAUUUUCUACAUUGUUACCACAUGAAAGACUGUGCAAAAAAAAAAAAGGACUUUUUAUUUAUUUUAUUUUAAAUGUCACAUUUUAAUGUUUUAAAUGUGUACCCAUGAAUUAUACUAAGUCGAAAUUAAGUGCCUGCUUUGUUAUAUAUUUAACUAGUGAGACAGGACCACAAAUUCAGGACAGGUAAGAGACACACACUCAUUUGCAUGAUACAGAAUAGGGAACAUCACAUACAGUUUUACAUUUUACAAGGCUACUUAAAAUCACCUUUCUCUGCAAACAAAUAUGGGGAUUUAGUUCCACCAUAUGGCCAUAUUGUUUUUUUCCCACCACUAGGUCACAAUACUCCAAAAGCACUAUCACUUUUGUGAUGGGAUUUCAGCUAGGUCCAAAAUUUAGUAGGCCUAAAAUCUCCAUGUGGCAUAUACAAGUACAUGUAUCCGUUAGUUACGUGUAGCCAAGAUACUGAGCACCAAUCUACUGAGCAUCUGCUGGAUUUGAAAAACCACAUUCCAUUCUCCUCAAGUGCCAUUCUGCCUAUCCAUAUAAGGUAAUGCUGUAAAUACUGUUUGCGGAUUGGUGUAAGGGUACAGAUGGGGGAUGUAUAGUCUAUAAAAAAACCUGUACUCCAUGUGCUCAGGGCUCAGACAUUUUGAACAUGAGUUCAGCUGAGACCUGAUUGGUGAGAAUAAAGACCUUUGCUUCCUGAACUCUCUGUGCGUGGCUUCUUCAGAGUUCCCCUAUAACACUUUAAUCAUUUAGCUACUCCACUACUUUUUUUUUUUAUUGUGUUUUUAUCAUAUUAAAUUUGCAUUAUAUAGAUUCACAAUGCUCUUACAAAAGAUUAUUUGAAUCAACUUUAGUUAAUUUAGCACUAUUUAUUUUGUAAUCCUGGCACCAUAGUAUCCCUUUAAUAUGUAAUUUGUAUAUAUUUUUGGUCUCUACGGCCGAGAAAUGCAUGUUUCGGGUGUGCCUCCAAUUCUCUUUUUUUUCUACAGUUGUGUACAUGCUGAUUCACACUCAUAUAGACACAUAGAUAUGCACAUGUAGGUAGAGAGAAUGCAAGCCUUACCUCAAAAAAGGUCAGCCUCCAUGAAUCACAUCACAGCAUCUGCUGUCAGUAUCUCAAUGCUCUGUGUAGGCAACUGACUCAUUGUGUUCAUGGGCUAAUAGUGUAGGUCCAGAUCAGACAAUCUCUAUCGCUGUCUUUGUGAAGUGAGUUAAGAGCCCGAGUAGCCAUGUUAGUUAGCUGCAGACACCCUGUUCAUACAUACACAUAUGUAUUUAUCAGUUCCUCCAUAGUAUGCACAUGCAGAACACUCUACAAGAUUUAACAAUAGGUAAUCUUACAGAGAACUGAAUACUGUAUAUAAGUACACACAUACAGGUCGGAAACCCUGGCCAUGGACUAUUUGUCUUUUAUAGAACUUUUAUACAAGACCUGCACAUGAGCUUACAAUCUAAAUGGAAAAUAUAUAAACUAUGUGGAGUCCAGCCACAAACACACCGACACACAUGUACCUACACUGUCACAUACACACACAUACAUGUCAUUCAUUUGUAUGUUUUGGCCACCCUCCUGUUAAAAUACAUUUUAUGUGCAGCAGGGUGGCUUGCCUGGAGUCAUGGUGCUGUCUGUGGCUGAUGAGAGUGUGAGGCUGGAGCUGGGUCUCUCUUUGCUCUCAACCCACGCUGCCUGUGCCUCCUCUCUCCUCUUCUCCAAUGUGGUGCUCUAUCUGAAGGUGGAAGGAAGUGACUGGAUAUCACUUCCUCCCAGCAUCAGCCAUAUUUCUUAUUGUGCACAAUAAUUACCAGAUUUUACUAAUUUCAUGACGUAAAGUCAUGAUUUUAUUAAGGACACGGAGGCUCAUAUUAUGCUAUUCUCUUUCUUUUAUUCCUCAGCAGCAAGAAAAAUUUAUUUUAGAGAAACAAAUCAAACAUGUAAACAUGCCCCAAAGGGCUAGUCCUACAACAAUACAACCAAUCAGCAUGCCUUCAGCACUCUCAACUCCCCAUGUGACCUUAAGCCACACCUCUUUCUUGGUGUUGUCGACAAAAAAAUCCAUAGGAACAUAUCAACUUGAAGGAAAAAAGCAAAAUGCCAGGACCGCCACAGUGAAAAAUCCAGUAUUCACCAGAAGCUGGGAUCUUCCCGUAGGUCCUGAAGGAAAUCCAUGAACAACGGUGCCAAACCGGAUCAUUAAGCUGAAAGGAACAGAGAAACAAACUGGUAAAAUAUGUUUCUGGACCUUUGAACAGUACCAUAUUACAGAAUUAGUCAUCGGAAUAUAUGCCACCAAAACCAGAUUAUCCUCUAACCAAAACCUUUCAAUACAUGCAGUGUGCUGUAGUAACCUGAAUCCGUAGUAACUUACUGACCACUUAUCUAUGGGAGGGUACCACUUACCUGCAUCGGGUGGGAUAAUACUCGCCUCCGUGUCCUUAAUAAAAUCAUGACUUUACGUCAUGAAAUUAGUAAAAUCUGGUAAUUUUAUUUAAGGACACGGUGGCUCAUAUUAUGCUAGUUCAAAGCUGUGACACGACCACCUCUGAAAAAUUAGAAACUGGCCGAAAAUAAAACUCCUUGAAGGUAGAUUCGCGGGACCAAUCAGCCGCCCAGAGUAGGUCCUCCAACCUGCAUCCUUUGGAGAAUGCUUUAGUCGCCAUGGCUCCCCUGACCGAGUGUGCUCCAUACACAGAAGUGUCGAUGCCCACUAAUUUCAUAAUCCACUUGACCCAACGAGACAAUGUGACUGUUGAAACAGGGUGAUAUUGAUGACGAAGGGCUAGGAAUAACUCCGGAUAUGCAGGAUCACGAAUCGAAGAAGUCCUGGACUCGUAUUCCUUGAGACAUGCCACUGGGCAUAGCUUAGAGUUAUGUGGAAAGGCCGGGUAGAAAACUGAGGUGAUUGACGUCUUCGUACGCCUGGAAAUAUUAAACGAGACAUCUUCGGGGGUGAAUGAACGUGCAGAGAAGUCCAACGCACGCACAUCCGACACCCGCUUACAGGAGAUCAAAGAAAACAGCAUCGCCAGCUUUGCUGCGAGUUUUUUCAGUGAGAGAUCUUCGUUCCUUGGCCAAUCUCCCAGAAGCUGGAGGACAAGGUCAACAUCCCAUGAUGAAGAGUAUCUAGGUUGCGGUGGGCGUGCAAAUCUAAUGCCGCGCAGGAGUCGGCAUACGAGGAGAUGUUUACCUGCCGGGGCACCAUCCAACCCUUGGUGGCCUGCGGAAAUAGCCGAUCGGUACACAUUUAUCGUGCGAUAGGCUAGGCCAUGGUCAAACAGAGAAGUGAGAAAUCUCAAAACGUGACUUAUAGGUGCCGAUAAGGGAUCCAUGUGUUGUUCCAUGCACCAACCACUCCAUGAAUUCCAGGCAUGUAAGUAGGAUUUCCUUGUUCCCGGAGCCCAAGCUCCCGCCAGAAGGUCAAUAGUUGUUUGUGGAACGUCCGGGAUGAAUCCAAGUCCCCGGAGAGGAGCCAUGCCAGUAAUUGGAGGUGUCCCUGUAAUAGUAGGGGGUGCGGUUCCCCGGUGGGGUCCAACAAGAGGUCCGGAGAGGUUGGAAUCAGUCUUGGGUAGUCCAUGGACAUCUCCAUGAGUGUAGGGAACCAUGGUUGAGCCAUCCAGAAUGGGGCGAUGAGAAUCAUGGAGGUUCGGUAGCGCCUGAGAUGUAGAAGCGUCCUCGCAAUCAAUGAGAAAGGAGGAAAAGCGUACGCUCGCGUGUCCGGCCACUGUUGAAGGAAGGCAUCUGAAGCCAAUGCCUCUGGAUCCGGUCUCCAACUGAAGAAACUCGGUAGUUGGGAGUUCAACCGUGAAGCGAAGAGGUCGAUCUCUAGUGGGCCCCAGAGUGUCUGGAGUUGCAGGAAAAUGGCCCGCUUCAGCCGCCAGUCGCUGGCAUCCCGUAGGUAUCUGGAAUUCCAAUCCGCCACCAUAUUGGACAUCCCGGGAAUGUGUUCCGCCUGAACCGAAAUAUUGCGAUCCAGGCAGAAGUGCCAGAAGUCUUUUGCUAGUUCCGCUAACACCACUGACUUCGUACCCCCGAGAUGAUUGAUGUAGCGGACCGCUGACACGUUGUCCAUCCGUAAAAGAAUGGAACAGUUGGUUGAGAUACCUACGAGACUCCGAACUGCAAAUGACCCCGCCAAAAGCUCGAGGCAAUUGAUGUGUAACUCCUGUUCGUCUGGGGACCAUUUCCCUCCGGUGGAGAUAGGACCGCAACGCGCGCCCCAGCCCAGCAGACUUGCGUCCGAUUCUACGACGAAGUCCGGCCUCGUCCCAAAGAUUGCUCUUCCGUUCCAUGCUUCCAUGUGCUGCAGCCACCAAGAGAGUUCUUCUUUGGCAGCACAAUCGAGAGGCACAGAGUCUGAAUAGGAGAGACCUGACCGAAGGUAUUUUGCCUUUAGGCGUUGAAGGGCCCUGUAGUGAAGUGGGCCCGGGAAAAUGGCCUGGAUGGAGGCCGAGAGAAGGCCGAUGAUCCUGGCCAGUUGCCGUAGCGUUAGUGCAGGUCGAGCCAGUGUUCGGCGGAUUUCUUUCUUGAUGAUCCUGACUUUGGAAGAUGGUAACAGGAGUGUCCCUUCCACUGAAUCGAUGGUGAAGCCCAGAAACUCCAAGACUUGGGAGGGUUGUACCACCGACUUGCCCCAGUUGAUGAGGAAACCAAGGUUGCCGAGUAAUGUCUUUGUCCAAAUCAGAUGUUCCUGGAGUAAAAGUGGGUCUUGUGCCAUCAGAAGCAUGUCGUCCAAGUAUAUAAUCAGACGUACUCCUCUGCUGCGUAGCAGAGCGACCACUGGCCGCAUGAGCUUCGUGAAGCACCAUGGGGCCGAGGAGAGGCCGAAGGGCAAGCAUUUGAAACGCCAUGUGGUCUCCUCCCAUUUGAACUGGAGGAAAUGUUGGCAAUCCUCGGCCAUUGGGACGGUGAGGUAUGCGUCCUGCANNNNNNNNNNNNNNNNNNNNNNNNNNNNNNNNNNNNNNNNNNNNNNNNNNNNNNNNNNNNNNNNNNNNNNNNNNNNNNNNNNNNNNNNNNNNNNNNNNNNCCACUUCAGCUCAAUGAAGUGGUCUGGGUGCCAGGUCCAUCUAGGGUUAAAGGACCACUAUAGGCACCCAGACCACUUCAGCUCAAUGAAGUGGUCUGGGUGCCAGGUCCAGCUAGGGUUAACCCCUUUUUUUUUAUAAACAUAGCAGUUUCAGAGAAACUGCUAUGUUUAUAAAUGGGUUAAUCCAGCCUCUAGUGGCUGUCUAACUGACAGUCACUAGAGGCGCUUCUCACUGUGAAAAUCACAGUGAGAAGACGCUGGAUGUCCAUAGGAAAGCAUUGAGAAAUGCUUUCCUAUGGACUGUUUGAAUGCGCGCUUGGCUCUUACCGCGCAUGUGCCUUUGGCGCUGACGUUGGUAGAGAGAGGAGAGUUCCCCAGCGCCUAGGGAGCCCAUCACUGGAGAAAGGUAAGUGUUUAACCCCUUCAGCCCUUCAGGGUGGGGGGACCUAAAGACCCUAUAGUGCCAGGAAAACGAGUUUGUUUUCCUCACACUAUAGUGGUCCUUUAACCCCUAUGUUGACCAAAAUAUGUUUUUGUUAAGUAUAAAAACUAAAAAAAUUAAUAAAUAUAGAAAUCCUCAUAGUUGUAUUUAGCACUAUCCUGGAACUGAAUGUCUCCAUUUUGGCUCCAUGUCAAUCAUUGUUAUAAGUUCUGACCUUUACACAUGUAAUUCAGCACAGGGAGGGGAGGAGAAACAGGAACAUUGGAGGAGAAUCAGCAAAGUGUUCUGUGAUUUAACCCCUGAAGGUAAACCGGAGCUCAGACACUCACUGAGCUGAAGUUGUUAUGGUGGUGGCAUUGUUCUAUAGAUGAAUAUAGAAGUUAUAGAUGAUUUUCAAUAUUUUAUCUAACGGUCUAAUUUCCAGAGAAGUGAUGAUUCCCCAAUUAACACAACAAACUGUAUGUAUGCUGGCUAUUUCAUAAGAUAAAAAUUAUAAAACAAAAUAUGUAUGUAUGUAUGUAUGUAUGCAUACACUACCUGUUUAUAUAUUAUAAAUAAGAUAUAUGAAACAAUUUGGUUGGUGAGAAUGAAAAAAUAGUAUGAGAAAUAGUGUAUAUAUUGUCUCUCGUAAUUGUAUGUUUCAAUUCUACUAUUUGUCAGUUAGAAUCUAUUUUAGUCUUAAUUUCGGAGUUAAGUGGCAGGGACUUGUCUAGCAAUUGCUGUCUUCAUUCCCAAUAAGAGAUGUCCAAUUAAUUUAAAGCCAAUAAAACAAACACGCUCUGACAUUAAAUCGCAAAACAUCCUGUUUAAUAAUGAAUGCCCAAACCACGGAGAUAGAGACGACGUGGCACAAGUCCCACUCCACUGGUGCUAUUGUCCCCCUUCUUAAUUGGGCUUGGACAUAAAACACAUGGUAUCAGCCUGGGCCCAUCUGGGAGUACCGCCACCACCAGCCUUUGUUAUUAAUUGGCGGAAUGCAUUCCAAAAUCCGACUGCGGAAACAAAAAUUGGCAGCCGUGAUCAUCGGAUCACGCUUUCUGCCCGAGCGAGGACGAGUGGUACUGCCACUCGUUUAACCCUGUCAUUGCCAGAGAGAGGACUAUUGAUUGACUUUAUCAACAGUCUAUGUUACAGAUUUUGCGUUAGAACACAGCCAAUCACGUGAGUUUGCGUACGUUUUUUUGGACGUCGUUUUACAUAAAGUAAAAGUUUUUAAUAGUUGUGCUCUCUGAGCAAUGCUGUGGUUUAUCAGACUAUAAGACUUUAUUCCGGUAAUAUUUACACCCAGAGGAAUGACACCCUCACUGUGUGCUGGGUAAGGACCUCGUAUAUUGCUCAUCUCAGGCACUGAGCUUCUGGCUGUGAGAAGACAGGGAGGGGCACCUGCUUUAAAAUAGUUUGACUACUUAAAUUAGUAUUCCUGGCACCAUAACCACUAUGACGUGCUGUCCUUUUAGUGUUAUUUUAAACAAAGAGGGGCCCUGAAUCUAAACACUGUAAGUAACACAUCAAACUUUAAAACAUAUUCAUUUUUAAAGUUAGAACAUUUCUUUAAUUAUUGUCGAGUAUUAGAUGCCUUUAUGGAGUUAACUCUUUCUACCAUUCAGUUAGCAAUCAAAAAAGAUGCUGAUGACAGAUUUUUGCAAUGCAUUAGCUUGUAUUACAACCAGCAUUCGCCUACAAAUUUGGUCCAAUCGAAUUGUGGAAAUUCAGUGGGACCAAAUGUGCAGUCAGCCAGUUGCCAAUCUUCGCUAAUUAUCACUGUAUUUGAAGUUUGGCUGCGUAAUUCCACCAUUCAGUUCUGGAUUUUAGAAGUUCAUUUCCGUUAAGGCAGACUUAAAUCUGGGCUACAUUGUUAUUUUGUAUAUUUCAAACCAAGGAAUUAGAAGUUCAUUGAAUUACAUGUUAUCUUUGCCUAUUCACCUUUAAAGUUCACUGAUGGUAGUCCGGUUCCUCCAUUAAGGAGAAGCCUAACUCCUGUCAAUCACUGCUUCAGAGCUUUUAUAGAAUGCCAGGAUAUUCCACUGCACUGUACAAUAAAGAAGUGUUUAAAGGGACACUAUAGUCACCAAAACAACUUUAGCUUAUUGAAGCAGUUUUGGUGUAUAAAUCAUUUCCCUGCAGUGUCACUGCUCAAUUCUCUGCCAUUUAGGAGUCUCUUUGUUUAUGCACCUUAGUCACACCUCUCUGCAUGUGACUUGUACGGCCUUCCUAAAAACUUCCUGUAAAGAGUCAGCUAAUGUUUAUACUUCCUUCUUUGCAAAUUCUCUUUAAUUUAUAAUGUAUUAUCCCCUGAACUGUUGAUAGCUUUCUAGACCCAACAGAAGCAUUAUGUGUCUUAUUAACAUUUGCUUUAGAGAGCAGGCAAUAAGAACUUUUAAAGUAAGUUACAUCUAAUUGAAAGUGAAACCAUUUUUUUUCCAUGCAUGGUGUGUGAGUCACAGCAGGGCUGGUGUGGCUAGGGCUGCAUGGACAAACAAAAGGGAUUUAACUCCAAAAUUGCAGAGAAUUGAGCAGUGAGACUGCAGGAUCAUGAUCUAUACAUUAAAACUGCUGCAUUAAGCUAAAGUUGUUUUGGUGACUAUAGUGUCCCUUUAAAUACUGAAAAACACAAGAAAUUUGUCUGAAAGUCCAAAAAAUAAUUUAAAUGAUUUAAAAUUCUACCUUUUAUAUGGAUUGAGUUAUUUGGAUCAAGCUCUUGAUUCAGUUAAACUGAAUAAUGUGUGGACUCGCUGAUAAACAGCAAUCAUUAGUUGAGAUUCCCAAGAAUUCUUCAAAACAAACAAUAUGUAUCCAUGCAAAGAACUGCGCCAUGAUUAAUGUGGAGCUGGGAAAUAUUAACGUGAAACUGGGAAAUGUACCAUAAUGUAUCAUGUAUCAUGACACCGUUAACUAAAAGCCAAUUUGGGAUCGAAGCUUUGCUACCGUGCAUUUUGUAAUAAACGUUUUGGUGCUUCUAUCAGUCACUACGCAGGUUUUUAUAAGUAUUACUCUGUACCUGACAGAGGGAAGUUAGUAUAUUUUUAUUGAAAAGGUACAUGUCAGUUUGAAAAUACUUCAGCCCAUAUGGUUGACUCCUUAGAUUAUGAGAAAAUGAGAUUUCAUAUCUCAUUUUGUUUGAUGACAGCAGAACGCGCCCAUCUGACUAGAGUCGACACAGAGAUGGCAGGAGGUUUGGGAAAACACCUAGCCACCUCUCUAAUGAGGGCAGACAAGGCCAUAUGACUCUCCUCCUCACUUAUCUACUUCUCGUUCAGCAAUUCUCUCCACCUGACUGGUGGCAAAUCUUUAAACAACUAGCAAUUUAACAGGAACAGUCUGUUCACCAACAAGAAAUGUUGUUACGUUUCGUUUUACACAUUGUCAUGAAACGGAUGCCAUGCCAAUAACGAAAAGAGUCAAAUGUACGCUGCAUUAUAUCUGUGACUCUAUGCAUUAACGUAUAUUACAUUAUAUGUACAGGUGAACUUCAAUCAUGACAUGUCUCGGUACGUUUAUACCAAAUACCUGUAUAAAACUUUAAAAUGCACAAAUAAAAGAAUAAAAAUAAAUAAAUAAAUAAGGAACACUCUAGCUCGGAAGUUCUAGAACUUUCAGAUCGGUAUAUAAUAAUUCUGGGUAGUAGUGUUCACAUGCGUUUUAAAAAAGGUAUAUGUCUGUAAUAGAAAGAUACUUUCAGGGUUUUUCGCUAACGUGAGAAUUGCAGGGAAUUUAGAGGGAAUUCAAAGUGAAUUUUAAAUUUAAGUUCAAAACAGCUGUACCGAAAGAAUUCUCCCAGCCAGCUUUCAGUUCGGCUACUUUGGCGUUUAAUUUGAAAUUCACUUUGCAUUUCCUGAAUUUCUCACUUUACUAAAUAACACUGAUAUUUGACAGAGGUAGCAGCCAACUUAGCUACUUAUCAAUGAACAUGAGAAAUUAUCCCUCCCGUUAAGAUGUUUCUAAGAGAGCUGAUUGGCUCUGGCAGUCUUAGGAGAAGGAAACAGGAAGAGACAAGUGAACGGAGGCAAUGUUUUAUUCAGGAUUUGACUCACAUGACACUGAAUUUUGAUACACUCGGGUAAAAUAGUCCAUAUGUCUAAAAACGAAAUACCCCCAAUGGGAUUAAAACACAAACUAGAGUUAGUUUUACAAGCACAUUAAAAGCAGAAUUCUGCAGAUUCAUCUCCAGAAAUGUUUUAAAUUAUAGGGACAAAAAUUCCUGGUUGGACCUACUCUAUAUUUGCCAUUGUCUAUUUGACGCAACUGUUGAAGUUGUCAUAGUCUUCAUCAUCCUUAGAUUUUCAUACAUACAUGAGAAUGCUGAAUGGCACUCUACUGAAGAUCUUACUAGAUAUAUGGCGACAGAUCUUGCUCAUGUGUGAAAAAUUUUCAUACGCUAUUAAUUCCUUUCACAUGAGCUGUCAGUGACUGACAGGGGAUGUAAACGAGAGGGUUUAAAAGCUGUAAAUUCUGGUUGAGCCAUCCAGAGGUACAUAGACACGCAGGCACGAACACACACACUUUGUUUCAAAUGCUACUAAAAUCAAAUAUGAUUUAUUUGUACUUAAUUUGUUUUUUAUUAUUUUUCAACAUUACAAAACAGUAUCACAAGGAAUAUCAGCAAAUAAGACCCCCGUAAGACAGUACAGGGGUCAAUAAAUAAGUAGUCAGAAUGUAUAAAAAUCAUCUAGCCUAUGCUCUCUGUAUAACAAAAAGAGAGAGAAAUAAUGAUGAUGACUAGGUAGGAGAAAAUACAAAAUUAGGAGGAAAAAGGGGUAAAAUAAUUAGGGAUAUAAAUAAGGAAAAUAAAAACAUGUUUAGCAGAAAUGGCUUGGAGGGGGUCUAGUAAACCGAAUGAAGGUGUAAAGUUGUUACCACGUCAGAAUUAUAUAACAGUAUAUUUAUUAAAAGUGAAACUGCUGUAUCUUGGUGGAAGCUAAAGGCCUGGUCAAAGGCAAAGAUCACUUACUGCAAAACCACUCGAAAUGGUUUGACAGAAAACCAGGAACUGUGCACAAAAUACUACUUACACCACAACCACUCACAAGAAACUAAAACAGGCUAUUUUUUUUUGUUUGUUUUAAAUUCUAUAAUUGUGAACAGCCACCAAAAUAAGCAAAAAGCAGUACAAUCCCAAUAGGCAAUAAAAUAGCUCGGAGUACCCAAAGUGUUCUAAAGAUUUUCUAGGCAUGAUCGCAAGACAACAUCCAAUCUUAACAUCUCCCAUUACAGUAUGGCCAGUUGGUAUGUUUUUAUACCAUGUGUAGUAUACCCCUAAACAAGAAAAACACACCAUAAGUCAACAUUGUAGCAUUAGCAGUUUGUAGUUGUAUAAAGUACAGCUCUGUUUAAUGGAACAACAAAAAAUGGUUGAAGCUUUGACAAAGAACUUAGCACUCCCUCUGUGGUAGACACAUUAAGUAAAGAAACAUGUGCUCUCAUUUCAAACCACAUCCAUUUCCCCGGGUGCCCAGACCUUGUUAUACCAACCCAUGGAAUUACGAACUAUGGCCAUCAGCCUAUUCAUCGACCUUAGCUCUCAGCUCUUGCAUUGUGGGUAUCUCUCAACCAGACUGCAGGCCGAGCUCUCCCAGCCGCCCAUGUUAUCUUAUGAAAGAGUUUCAGGUAGCGGGAGGUUAUAUUGUAUUAAUAUUCCUCUAAAUAACUGAUACUUAUCACAAUGUUUCUAUACAGUUAUGCAAUGUAUUCCGAGUACAGAGCUCUGAAAAGGCACUGAAAACUACGAGCCUGCUGCUACCAUAGGAAAGGCUCAUGUUGUGUUUAGCAAGGCACUAGAUCACAUGGUUAGCUAGCAGGCAAGCUGCUAAGAGGACAUAAACAGAUACAAUCAAGAAUUAUUACCUUACGAUGCUAAAGGGCAUCCAUCACUUCUCUGGAAAUCCCAUUACUUUUGAAUAAUAUAUUUGAAACCAUUUAUAACGUACGUCACCUGUGACAGACUGUUGUGUUUUUAAUGCCUCGUAAAGAUUUAGCAAACAACAUCACAAUCCGGUUCCGUCCUGGCACAGCCAAGGCACAGCUUACAUUGCAGGGUAUAAAUGAGAAAUCACUAGUGUUUUGAUUUGAAAAUGGUGCAACAAUGUAACAGGGGAGGAGUUGGCAAUACAACAUGCCUGUUGGUUGCACUAGUUUCCAUCGCGAUAUCCCAACUUUUAGGACUUUGCACUGUUUUAUAGAACUUGAUAGUUUAUUAAAUAUCCUGCACUCUUUCUGUUGCUCCACAUACUAAGCCACCUACAGGCCAUUAAAUGGACCCUAUAGCAUUAGGAAUAUAAACCUGUAUUCCUUACACUAUAGUCUUCCUCUCGCUAGUUAAUUUUAGGCCCCCCUGGAGAUGUCACCUUCAGGGUGAUGGUUUAAUCCAAAGCUCCUCGUAAAGGAGCAUUGGGGACAAUAGGUGCAUGUUCGUUGAUUAGCCAAUGGAAUUCUUCCAAGAUAUAGAAGGUCUAUGCUGAUUGGUAGGUGCAAUGGUUGUGGUUUGUUUAACCCCUUAAGGACCAAACUUCUGGAAUAAAAGGGAAUCAUGACAUGUCACACAUGCCAUGUGUCCUUAAGGGGUUAAAUGACAGAAAAUUACGUUCAAAUGGCAGACCUUAUAACAAGGACACAAGAUGGAGGCAGUCAGUUCCAUGUAUAAUUGUGAACUUAUAUAAAAAAAAAUUAUGUAUAAUUGUGAACUUAUAAAAAAUUUUUUAUUAUUUUUCAGACCUUAUAAACACAUACUUGUUAAAAGUAAAAUAAACAUAAUGUGAACAAUUCUGAAAAGUGACAGUUUCUCUUUAAUAUAUGCAAUACUGCAUUUAUAAUGCACAAAUAUAAAAAAUAAAAAAAACUUGUCCUUGUGAGUGUCAGACUAUUUCUUUAAUGUUUUCAGUAGUAUUACUAAAUCGAGUGUGUGGCUGCUUCUCUUUCCAUAGAUAUGUAAAAUCUGACCUUUCUAACAUUUUUUAAUGAGCUGUAGUUUGGCAGCAGAACAAUUUUUAUAUCUCUGUUACAAUCAUAUAAAUGUAUUAAAAAUGCAUGUUUCAGGGUUAUGUUGCGUAAAAGACGCAAUAAACAGUGCAAAGUCCUAUUUAAUGAAUGCUAAAAAAUAGUAACUCUAAAAGAAAACAAUGGCAAACAAAUUAAGACAAUUCAUGUGUGUACCAGCUCACACUUCUAUACGAUCCCUUACAGGAACACUGUAAGGACCAUAAUCAUUGUAACGAAUUGAAUUGAUUAUGGUGCCUGGAGUCUGUGGUUGCUGUGUCCCACAUCACUGCUAAAUGUGCAGAGAUGCUCGGCCCCUGGCAGGAUCCAGCCUGGUGUCUAGUGAAGAUAUGGUAGAGGAGGAGCUAUGUUCCCACCUCAAGCCAUACCAAGUUAUACCAACAACUGUGUCAGUGAUUGGCUGAGAGGACUUAGCUGACAAUCUCAUCCAAUCACUCCAUGGUACACCUGGUAAGGUGUGAAGUCGAACAUAUUAAUUGAAAGCCUGGUUGCAGGCUUUAAAUGGACCAAGAAUCUUUGCUAAACAUAGAUUAAGCCAUUUAGCAGUGAUAGGCUACCUGGUGCCCAUAGGCUCCACGCACCAUAACCACUACAGUGCACUGAAAUGGUUUUUGUGCCUCCAACAAAUAUAUAUUUAAUAAUAACCUGCUAUUUUAAACAGUCUUUAAACAGGGUAAAUGGGGCAGCGCCCCUAAGGGAGGGACUGAAGCAGGUGACCCUUAUUCCAGAGAGAUUCUUUGUUGAUAAUACACCAAUUCCUUCCACUCAGCGCUGACAGGCCGAGGGCAAAUUCUACCGCGUGUCAGACUAUGGAGGGCAGUCCUUUGGCUAAUUUUCAGGUGGAGGGAGAUACACCAUGUUGAUGACCUCAUAAACCUCAGAGUUGAACUCUAGCGCACGCAGGAGAGUACAGCACUGACAUGGGAAAUGACAGAUUAAGAGCCAGGAGAUGAAAAUAAUCAACCAGAUAAAGAUGGCGGCAGCAACGAGGGUCUGAUUCCGGUAAGUAAAACUCACCACUCUUUACACCGCACCCCACUCAGUGACAGAGCUACUUUAUACAGGGCGCUGUUAGGAAUAGGAAAUGUUAGGUCAAACUGCUUGAGCUUAAAAAACAAUUCACGUGGAGAGGUUUCCAAUCUGUUUUGCUCUCAAAUUUGCAUUUAUUUAUCAAUUCCAAAAAUCUCCAUUUAGUAACCCCAUGUGUCUCUGGCUUGGGUGAUGAAUCACUGGUACCUUAUUUCUACAUGUGGGACUUCCAUAAAAAAAAAAAAAAAAAUACAUGUUCAUUUUCUCUAUCUGCAACUAAGCAAAACUUAUUUUGUUGGCUGUUUGCUCCUAAAUAAUUUAUGGCCAAUGCUGCACCUAUUUAGGAGCUGCUGUGGCACAGACUCGCCUGCAAGCUUAUUAAUUAGGCAGAAUGCUGACAGCAGGCAUGCAAUGAGAGAAAAAAAAAAAAAAGGUCUUCUGACAAACAGGGGGUUGGGGGAGAGAAGAGUCAUCACUCUGAGGAAUGAGAACAAAAUUCAGACAUUAAUUUCAACUUCGCAAAACAUCAAAGCAUCAAUCAGAUAAUAGGAGUAUGAAAGAGCCCUCAUUAAUCUAGCAAUUGAUGUUUUACAACCCCUCGUACCCUGCCCACCCUCACGCAGGCCAUGUUAUGAUAUGUGCUUUGUAUUUCAAAUCUUAUAGAGACUGUAGUCUGAAACCGUUAAAGGGAGCAUCUAAGCAUCGCUAUGGCAAUUUAUUUAUUAGAAUAUGAACAAUGUCCAUCUGUAAGGAAGACAGCUGACAUUCUGUGUCUGAAAUAGUAUCACGCUGAAGGAACAUAACUAUCCUUAAAGUGAAAGGGAUUCAUGGGACAUAAAGUGGCUAAUUUGCAUAAUCCAUACAUGGUGUGAAAGGGCUAUAUGUAUUUUAGGAGGCAUAUAGCUGCUGACUGUCACCUUACUGUACAAUUAGUAAAUAUGUAAUAUGUAACACCAAUCUACUCUAGAUACAAAAGGGGAUUCUCUCACCAAUAUAAAUUUGUACAUACAGCGACUUUUUUGACCUUCGUAAGAUCAUUGUCAAGUUAUGCAUGUAGGUCAAAAUUAUGCUCUAUCUGUCAAUCUAGGAUGGUGGAAUGAAUGCUUUUUUGUUUCCAAAGACUGGCUUUUCAAUGUUUAUUCACUCUAUUAUUGACUAUUUUCGGACUGGAUGCAUUCCGGUGGUUGUAUUCAUUCCAUUGUGUGCAUGAGAGGACGGGGGUUAUGUACAAAAAGAGUUUCCGUAACGUGGUGCAAUCACAACGUAAUUACGGUUUAUCCUCACGCCUAAAAAAAUAAAUAAAAUAAACAAAAAAUCUGAUAAAUUUAUUGCUGAGCUACAAAACAGGAAAGUGAUCUAAUUAUUAUUUAGUUAUUCACUGCCAAUUCAAUUAAAAAAAACUGCUGCAAAACAACGUUAUUUUUUAAGAUCAAUUUAUUGAUUUCCAAUUCUUCAUCAUCUUACAUCUCAGCAUAAAAAGCUGAGCAGCAAACAUGCUUCAUUGUAGUGCCUUGUAUGUGUAUAUAUAUAUUUAUAUGGACCAGUAUUCUUAUUUUUACCACAUGACAGCACCUCCGUAGAGGCAAACAACUAAUCAGAGAAAAAUAACAUCAAUAAAAGGGUUGAACUAAAUUAGCACUUUCUCGUUCUCAAGAGUACUUUAAGAGUAUGCACUUCCUUUGAUGGUGCUCCCUGCUUUGAUUUAUACUGCGUUAUCUAUUUGAUAAUAUUUGUUUCUAUCUUACACUUGGAGUGCUUCAUUUCCACUCUAAUCAGGUAAUUUAUAUUUUCCUGUUUUCCCUUUUACCGACUGUGUCAUUAUUAUUUUUAUGAUUUAUUAUUUAUAAAGCGCCAACAAAUUCCGCAGCACUUUACAAUGGGUGGACGAACAGACAUGUAGUUGUAACCAGACAAGUUGGACACACAGGAACAGAGGGGUUGAGGGCCCUGCUCAAUGAGCUUACAUGCUAAAGGGAGUGGGGUAAAAUGACACAAAAAGGUAAGGAUAGUAUUAGACUAGUGACCGUUGCAGAAGAAAAAUCAGUCGGGAGCUAGUUUAAUUGAUACGCGACUGUCUUGCGCCUUAUUAUGUUAGGAUACCGGUGGCGGAUGGCCGAUUUAUAGGGGUGCUGCUCGCCAUUCACUUUCCGACCCUUGUUUAUUUAAUUUGUCUGAUUCGGUUUACAACUUUAUUUAUACGUUCUUCCGUAUAAUUUACAUUACCGCUAUAUAUCUGUUUUUCAUUGUGCCUAGUUAUUUGUAUUUUAUUACUUCAUUUUGUUAACGGCAGAUGUUACUACAGUAUUACGUCUUGCACGGUUUUUCUUUCUUCUCUUGCUUUGUAACGUUCUUAUUUAUCAUGUCUUGGUUGUGGUUUCUGAUUUGAAGCUGUACUUGUUGCUUACGUCUUAUUGGACGAUUGAAAGUUCCCUAGCUUUUUUCUGUUCUUGUCACGACUGCUAGUGUGGUCCAGCACUCAAAACUAUAGAAUAUCUACAUAGAUAGAAAAGCAAAAGGACAGAACGCAAACCGGUCCUUAGAAUGGCCGGAAUAAUAUGUUGAAAGACAGAGAAUGGUCAAGGGAAAGCAGAGGUCAAGGAAGCCAGAAAUACACGAGAACGAUAUGGAAAGCCAAGUCAAGGGAACCAGAAAUCAGAGUAGUCAGGGAUAGCCAAGGUCAAAAUACUGGGAAGAUCAAAUACAAGACAAGAAAACGCACUCUCUGGAACCAGGAACUGAAACCACAACAGGGCAAUGAACUAGAGAACCUCAAGGAUUUAAAUAUCCCUCCUUUUGCUGUGAUUGGUCAGAGCGUGACCUCUGACUCCAGAACGUGCGUGCGCGUCGACAUCGUGAUGUCACAUGCACAUUCACAUGACCCUGGGAGGCAGGGCUAUAAAUGGCCACAACCACGUGGUCAGCGCCAUUUUUUAGCCGCCGAGGUGAUGGAUGCCCAAGCGGUGCGGCUCAAAGAUCACCGGUAAGCUCAGCUUGACAGCGCGGUCGCACCGAUCGGGUGCGACCUUGUGCAGUCGCGGGCCGGGACCCGUGACAGUUCUGGAUCAUUUUGCAGCAAAGAAAAGGGAAGUGCUAAUUUGGUUCGACCCUUUUAUUGGUGGUGCUUUUCUCUGAUUGAUCGUUUAAUUUACUGUUAAUAUGCGGCUAAAGAGGAGCAGUAAAGAGUGAAUUCUAUAUAUUAGCCUCCUGUCAUUAUAAAAAUGAAGAUUAUUUCUUCACGAAAACUGGAAUAAUCUACAAUUUUUUUAAUGUUUUUACUUUCAGCAUUGUGUUAAAAUGGAUUCCAAUACAAUUACAUAAAUUCUAUAAGUAGACAUGACUGUUCUUAGACUAUCAUAUAAUAUGCUACGAUUUCAGAACUACUGCAGUUUUUAAUACGUACAAUUACUCUGGGGAAUUGGGCAACAAACAAAACAAAAUUGUUAUCAUAAAUUGCAGCAAUAUAUAUAUAUAAAACAAAUGAACAUAUGGGCUGCACUCACGGUCUUCCGUUAUAGAGCUCCCUUUAUUCCAUAGAACAAAUCGAUUUGUUCUAUGGAAUAAAGGGAACUCUAUAACGGAAGACCAUGAGUGCAGCCCAUAUGUUCAUUUGUUUUGUAUCAGCAAACCCCAGGACUGGCACCCGGCAGUUUAGCCUGAGUGCAAGGAAAAUCGUUUUUGAUAUAUAUAUAUAUAUAUAUAUAUAUAUAUAUAUAAACCAACAAAAAGGAAGGCUGCUCUCCGGACUAAAAAACAAAAAAGUUUAUUCAGAUAAUAUUAAAAAACCACGACCUGAAUAAACUUUUUUGUUUUUUAGUCCGGAGAGCAGCCUUCCUUUUUGUUGGUUUUUACAUACCUUGGAGCUCUGGUGGUGCGCCCGGCAUUGGACUAUCUUGUAAGCGUGAGUGCAGGGGAUACAUCUAUUUUUAUAUAUAUAUAUAUAUAUAUAUAUAUAUAUAUAUAUAUAUAUAUAUAUAUAUAUAUAUAUAUAUACACACACACACACACACACACACACACACUUUCCUAGAAUGGUUAGAAUUUCUUCGCAACAUUCAGAAGUUUCUCAACAGAACACAGACACCCUCCUGAAAGCACAGCUAGCAAUAUCAUAGUAGCAAAACGUUUGACUAUAAGGGAGCAUUGAAAUUAUUCUUCCCUCUGAAUAAAGUACUGGUAGUUCUAACCUAACAAUGUAUCACUUUACAAUUCUAAAAAGGGGAUAUUAGACAACAAAGACGAGUGGUGAAGAAGCCCUGCUCAAAGCCUCAAACAAUUAGGAUUUGAACCUUGGGUUUCCCCGACGUUUCCACUGCUCUAAUGUGGUGGAAUCUCGGUAAAAAUAAAUUUAGUAGGCCGAGAUUACCACGUGGCAUGUGUACGUGCAUAUGCCGACGUAUCGAUCAGUAGUGUACGGAGCAUGUGCAAGAAUACAGGAUGUAGUAUUCCCCUCCUCCAUUGUGCUGGACAAGCCAUGCGGUCAAGCAGGAAGUUAAUUCUUAUUUGUAAUGAUUGGUCAAGAGAAUGUGCGGGUGGAGCUUAAUAUGGGAGGAGUUAUGUGCCUAUAUAGGGAGCCUGCACUAUUGUUCAGGGCUCAGAACUUGCUGUAUUUUUGGUGACAUUAGUCCCUCUGAGUCCCGAUCGGUGAUCCAAUAAAGAAUCUCUUCCUUCCUGAAGAAACCUGUGUCCAUCCCUCUGUGCUUUGCUUCCGUCAGUUUCUCCGGUAUCAUUUGGUGCAUUGGCCGGGAAGCUCAUCGUUCAACGGUAGCUGAGAGGCAGAGGCGUGAGACGGUCUAUCUUUGCCCACGUUCUCUACGGCUGCACCCCUGAACUUCUGCGUGGACCUCCCUUCGUCUCGGCGCCACUGGUCUGUUGUCCAGGAGAUCAUCGGCCUCUACGUAAGAAGUGCUGGGGUGUCCCCGUCGAUGAGUGUGAACUCAGGUUCAGGAACGAGGAGGUAAGACAACUGCUGUUUUAGACGGCAGACCCACUAGGGGUAUACCGAUUGUGCGGUAGGCCCAAAAGGGGUUUAAAUCUGUGUAUGGAAUCUGCCCCCUCUGUCGGAGGGAAGGAGCGAAGGCGCACCGCUCGAUCGAACGCUCUUUAGUAAGACCGUUUGAUCUGGUUAGUCAGGCGGGGUCCUGUGUAAAUAGCCCUAGCCGGACACCGGUGUCUUGUCUAGACUAGCGUUCUAGGGUGUAUAUUACGUUCGCUAGGUCGGAGGGACCGGGAGACUAAGCGGCGCCUGUGUAAAUUCGGUUCGCUAGCUCUCAACCUAUCUUGGCUAAGUGGGAAGGCGUGUAAAUUUGGAACCCACUAGACUUUUGAUAGAGUAAAUAGACUAGAAGGGCAAUUUUGUAAAUUUCGCCCUCUAGUUCGCUAUAUGUGGUGUUUGGGCAGUGUGGCUAACCAAAACGGGUGUAUAUAGUUUUAGGUAGUCCAUUCAAGGUACUGGCCAAUAGUUUAGUUGGGAUUGUAAAUGUGUUAAAGAUUGUUAGUAAAGUGUAUAUCUUGUUAGAUAGCGCGAGCUCAGCCGUCUAGCGAGAGUGUUAAUAGUGUGUUGCUGUAUCAUAGUGCACGGUACCAUAACCCUGUAUAUUUACUGACACUGUAUAUAAGUACUAAUCAUUGUCGUCUAUUGCAUGUUUAACACCGUAACCACUAAUAAUUGUAUUGUGACCUUAAAUUGUGCUUUGACCUAUGCUAACCGUACUGUAACCGAUACUAGUAAAAGACGAUGUUACUGGGGUGUGUUAUAGACGGGUAAUUCAUAUAUAGAGAAUUAUAGCGUGGGUGACUGUAUAGUUUCGCCAAAGGGCAUAAUAUUGAUUAUUUAGUGACUGGUGUAACAGCUGUGUGUGUACGGGAAUUCCCUGAGUGAUUAUUGUGUUAUUGUGUACGUUUCACUUGGUAACUGUACCACGUGGUGCUGUUGCCAGAGGAAACGGGUGUGACUGUUGAAUAAGAACGCGUGCAUAGUAUUCGUUGUCAACGACGUUCCAUUGAUAAGUAUGGGCGCGUCAGAGUCAACGAUUUCGGAUCCCUUAGGUUGUAUGGUAAAGAAUUUUAAAAAGGGAUUCAAAACAUGUGAUUUUGGGGUUAAAAUGUCUCCUGUACGUUUGGUCACUUUGUGCACUAGGGAGUGGCCUACUUUGGUUGCGGCAUGGCCGCCGCGUGGCAGUUUGGAUCCAACCCUGGUACAGCGUGUACACGUGGCUGUAUCAGGUAGGCCUGAACUUUACGGACAGUUUCCAUACAUUGAUUGUUGGAGGCAGGCCGUAAACGACUCGCCAAAAUGGAUCCGGAUAUGCCACGAGGAGCAAUGUCGCCUCAUGGUGGCCAGGACUUGUUUGUCCACUAGGACUGGUGUUAGGCCCAUUUUGGACACGCCCCCUGAGUCCGAGAUCCCUUUGCCGCCCCCUUACUUUCCUUUAAGAGGAAGUGACGCGAAUGCAGGAAGCUCUGCACCCCUUCCCCUAUUGCCCCCAUCCACUUCCGCUUCCUCCUCCAGUACAGAAUCCACCCCCCCUCGUAUUAAAACUCCCCUUCCGGAACCAGGACCAACCCCCAUUAGAUCUGAAUAUCCUGAUUUGGCGCCACUUCAAACUUCCGGUCAAGCUUCUUCUAGCUCGGCUCGGAGUAUACUAUUCACUAACUUUUCCCAAAAUCAAGUUCCCACAUCCUCAUGCCCUAUUACCUCUCGACCGGAACCUUUAACUGACGCCCCUCCACGUAGCCCCAUACUAACCCGACAACUGACCGGUACCCAACAAUUAAAACAUUAUCAGAUGCCUCUUCGUCUGAAUCCUGGGUCAGCCUAUAUCGAUGCCGCAGGUCAAAUGGCACAUGCUGACCCAGUCUUCGUAUAUGUCCCGUUCACGACUACCGAUCUCUUGAAUUGGAAGACCCACAAUUCCUCGUACACUGAGAAACCACAAGCUAUGACCGAUCUGUUCACCUCGAUAGUUCAGACACAUAACCCGACAUGGGCUGAUUGCCAGCAGUUAUUAAUGACAUUGUUCAAUAAUGAGGAAAGGACAAGGAUUAACCAAGCGGCCAUUAAGGCGCUAGAGGAGAGAGCCCGUGCUUUAAAUCAAGCCAAUCCGGCAGCAUGGGCCGCAACACAUUACCCUAACACCGAUCCUGACUGGAAUGUAAAUGGCGCAGAUAUGGCUCAACUUAAAGCCUAUAGAGAUGCUAUAAUUGCUGGCAUGAAAGCCGGAGGGAAGAAAGCUAUUAACAUGUCGAAGACAGUUGAGGUGAUUCAGAAAAGUGAUGAAGCGCCCAGUGUCUUUUAUGACCGAUUAUUGGAGGCAUACCGCUUGUAUACCCCCUUUAAUCCGGAAGACGCUGAUAAUUCCCGAAUGGUAAACUCCGCCUUUGUCAGCCAAGCUUACGGAGAUAUUAAGCGCAAGCUACAGAAAUUAGAAGGGUUUGCAGGUAUGUCUAUCACCCAACUAAUGGAGGUAGCGAACAAAGUAUAUAUGAAUAGGGAAACAGAAAGUAAGAAAGAGGAAGAGCGCAAGAUGCGUAGAAAGGCAGAUAUGCUAGCGGUAGCGAUCGCAGGCGUAGAUAGACGGGGCCCAGAUAGAGGCGAUGGUAGAUGGAAUAGGGAGCCUUUGAGUAGGAAUCAGUGCGCGUACUGUAAGGAAGAAGGGCAUUGGAGGAACGAGUGUCCGCAAAGAGAGCAGUAUGAGAGAGACUUACCCAGGGCAGGUUACGGAAACUUUAGAGGCAGAGCGAGAGGUAGAGGAGGCCCCGGAGGGAGUAAUGGUAAUAGAGGGAGUAAUGGGAACAGAGGAAGUGUAAGGGAAGAUAGGUACUAUCCAGCAGCGCAAAGGUCCCGCGAUAGAGAAGGUAGGGACUUUGUGGGAUUGGCUGACACGGUCAUGGAGGACUAUUGAUACCGACCGGGCUCCAUCCCCCUUGGUCGAGCGGAGCCUAUGGUCGAUGUAUCAAUAGGGGGAAAAAGGAGUGCGUUCAUGAUCGACACUGGUGCUGAACAUUCGGUGGUGACUAAUCUAGUUGCUCCUCCAUCUGGAAGAACUAUUACUGUAAUAGGAGCAACUGGAAGAAGUGCUGAAAAAACGGUUCUUAAAAGUCGACUCUGUACAUUGGGAGGCCACGUAGUAAAACAUCAAUUCCUUUAUAUGCCUGAGUGUCCAGUCCAAUUGCUGGGACGUGAUAUGCUAUCCAAAUUACAAGCGCAGAUUACGUUCCUACCAAAUGGAACAACAUCCUUAAAGUUUAAUGGACCUUCAGGUAUUAUGACAUUGUCCGUACCAAAGGAAGAAGAGUGGCGACUUUAUACAGUGUUGACUAGCCAAAACCCGAGGAGUGAUGAAUCCUUAUUUAACAUACCAGGAGUUUGGGCAGAGAACAACCCACCAGGACUGGCCCGCAAUAUUCCACCUAUUAAAAUCGAACUAAAACUUGGGGUUUAUCCAGUAAGCCUGAGACAAUAUCAUAUUCCGCAGAAGGCUAAGAAGAACAUCCAAUCUUAUCUGGAUAAGUUCAUACGGUAUGGUAUCCUAAAAUUCUGUACUUCCCCCUGGAACACCCCAUUGCUGCCUGUUCAAAAGCCCGGUACAGAUGAGUAUCGACCUGUGCAGGACUUGAGAGCAGUCAAUGAUGCGGUUGUUAGUAUACAUCCAGUCGUGCCCAAUCCAUAUAACCUGCUUGCUUUAAUUCCGGGCGGGGCUACUUACUUUACAGUCUUAGAUCUCAAAGAUGCCUUCUUUUGCCUCCGAAUUGCCGCAGAAAGCCAAUGUAUCUUCGCUUUCCAAUGGGAAAAUGCUGUAACGGGCUCGAAACGCCAAAUGACCUGGACAAGAUUGCCCCAGGGGUUUAAAAAUUCACCUACCCUAUUUGGUUCAGCUCUAAGUCAAGAUCUACUAGAUUUCGAGUCUAUCCCAGGAGAGUGUGUAUUAUUACAAUAUGUAGAUGACUUGUUGAUAGCAGCAGUUACAAAGGAAGUAUGUCAGCAAGCAACGCACGAUCUACUACACAUUCUCUGGAAGGCAGGAUACAAGGUGUCUAGAAGGAAGGCUCAGUUGUGUUUGCCAACUGUCAAAUAUCUGGGAUUCCAUAUCUCUGAAGGUCAAAGAAUUAUGGGGCCAGAGAGAAAAGAAGCUGUGUGCCAAAUACCGAUACCCAGGAAUAGAAGACAAGUGCGAGAAUUCUUGGGGGCAGCAGGCUUCUGUAGGAUAUGGAUUCCCAGCUACGCGAUACUGGCAAAACCUCUGUAUGCAGCUAUCAAAGGUACAGAGCACGACCCCUUCUUAUGGACUCAAGAACAGCAAACGGCAUUCGAAGAUGUGAAGAGGGCUUUGAUGAGUGCCCCAGCAUUAGGUCUACCUGACCACACACGGCCAUUCUACCUGUAUGUACAUGAGCAAAGAAGAAUGGCUGUGGGAGUAUUGACACAGUACUUGGGAUCAUGGCAAAGACCUGUUGCCUACAUGUCUAAGCAACUGGAUGCAGUGGCCAGCGGACUUCCACCUUGUCUAAGAGCUGUAGCUGCAGCCGCCCUGCUAGUAGCUGAAGCCGAUAAACUCACUCUGGGUCAAGAACUUUAUGUACGAGUUCCACAUGCAGUACAGACGUUGUUGGAUUACAAAGGAAAUCAUUGGUUUAGUAACAGCCGUAUGACCAAGUAUCAAGCAAUGUUGUGUGAAAACCCAAGAGUGCAUUUAGAGACUGUAAAUACCUUAAAUCCAGCUACCCUUUUGCCACAACCUACUGAAAGUCAACAUGAUUGUUUGGAAGUAAUGGAUGAAGUAUUUUCAAGUAGACCAGAUCUUCGUGAUUUUCCCAUCCAGAACCCUGAUGUUCAAUAUUACACCGACGGCAGUAGUUAUGUAAAAGAAGGGAUCCGCUAUGCAGGAUAUGCAGUAACAACGAUAGACAAGGUGAUAGAAGCUCGGCCACUGGCAAAAGGAACAUCAGCACAAAAGGCAGAAUUGAUAGCACUGACACGAGCGUUACAAUUGGCUGAAGGUUUAAGAGUGAACAUCUACACGGACUCCAAGUAUGCGUUUUUAACCACUCAUGCCCACGGAGCUUUGUAUAAAGAAAGAGGACUAUUGAAUUCAGAAGGCAAAGAAAUCAAAUACGCAGCUGAGAUCCUACAACUAUUGGAAGCAGUGUGGGAGCCGAAAGAAGUCGGUAUUAUACAUUGUCGGGCGCAUCUGAGAGGAGAUGGUGAUGUAACCAAAGGGAAUCGGAUGGCAGAUAGUGCAGCUAAGCGUGCUGCUGAAUCAGGAAGACAGGAAUAUGUGGGGCAUAUAGCUGCUCUUAUACCAACUCCACUGUCUCAAUGGACUCCAAUUUAUACAGCUCAAGAAGAGGAGUGGUUAAGGACUGAACCUGGAAAGUAUUUGGAGAACAAAUGGUAUCAGUUAGAAGAUGGAAGAAUAGUUAUUCCAGCAUCACUAGCGGUAGAAAUUGUCCAAAACUAUCAUAACGGGACACAUUCUGGGAGAGACAGUACAGAAGAAUCUCUCAGAAAACAUUUCUACAUACCAAGAUUGUCCAACUUGACUCAGGCCAUUGUACGUAGAUGUGUAACGUGUGCUAAAAAUAAUGCAAGACAAGGACCAGUAAAGCCACCAGGAGUCCAGUUUAUGGGGGGACUUCCCAUGUCCGAUUUACAAAUUGACUAUACAGUGAUGCCUAAAUCGGGUGGACAUCGCUACCUGCUGGUAGUGGUGUGCACCUAUUCAGGCUGGGUAGAAGCAUGUCCUACUCGUACAGAGAAAGCAGGAGAAGUCGUGAGAUUCCUGCUACGAGAAAUAAUACCCCGAUAUGGACUACCCUGCUCUAUAGGAUCGGACAAUGGUCCAGCUUUUGUUCAUCAGUGCCUACAACAACUGACUCAUAUGCUUGGUAUAAAGUGGAGGCUUCAUACGGCAUAUAGACCCCAGAGUUCUGGUAAGGUAGAGAGAAUGAAUAGAACUAUUAAGAAUCAGUUGGCUAAAAUGUGUCAGGAAACCCAACUUAAGUGGAACGUUCUCUUGCCCAUAGCUCUAUUGCGAAUCCGUAGUACACCUACCAGAAGGAUGGGCCUCUCUCCUUUUGAAAUCAUGUACGGGCGACCACCUCCCGUGCUUGGUAACUUAAGGGGGGAUUUGAGUCAGUUGGGAGAAGGAAUUACCCGGCAGCAGGUUGUAGAGUUGGGUAAGACUAUGGAGGAGGUACAGAAAUGGGUACAAGAUAGAUUACCUGUGAAUAUUUAUCCCCCAAUUCAUAGUUACCACCCAGGCGACCAAGUGUGGAUUAAAGAGUGGAAUAAUGUGCCGUUAGGGCCCAAGUGGAGAGGUCCUUAUGUUGUUCUUCUGUCUACCCCUACAGCGAUAAAAGUAGCCGAAGUGGCUCCGUGGAUACAUCACUCCAGGGUUAAACCAGCAGCAGCCGAUUCCUGGCAAGUUACAGCAAAUCCAGAGAAUCCCUGCAAGAUCCGGUUAAAACGCACGACUCAGUCGGAGUGACGAGGAACC